UAUAUAUAAGACCGGAAGUGACCCCCUAAAAUAACCAAGUUUAACAAGCAGUAAAAACUAAACGCCUCGACACACAUUUAAAUAUUAAAGCUCAUAUAGAGAGAUUUUGUCAACAUCUACACAUCGGUGACUUCAGCAAUGAUCUUCCCUCGCAGAGAUAAUACAAUCCCUGCUCCCUGAGCAUGUUGUUGUUGUUCACCCCCCCUCCACCCUCGGGCCCGUUAUCAGAUCCGGAACGUGGGCUCCCAGCAGCUGCAGUUAUUGUGGAAGACUACGUUUACAGCCCCCAUGACGUCUGUGACAACAGUAGCUUUUA